UACAGAGGGUGCAAGCGUUAAUCGGAAUUACUGGGCGUAAAGCGUGCGUAGACGGUUAUGUAAGUCAGAUGUGAAAGCCCAGGGCUCAACCUUGGAAUUGCAUUUGAGACUGCAUAGCUAGGGUGCGGAAGAGGGAAGCGGAAUUUCCGGUGUAGCGGUGAAAUGCGUAGAGAUCGGGAGGAACACCCGUGGCGAAGGCGGCCAUCUGGACCAGCACUGACGCUGAGGCACGGAAAGCGUGGGGAGCAAACAGG
rnacentral:rRNA from 1 species